UUUUUGAACUGCAGCUCCCAGAAACCCCAGCCAGCACAGCUGGUGGUAAAGGCUUCUGGGAGUUGCAGUCCCAAAUGCGGGAAACUUGACUGCAUAAUUUGUGGUAGUGGGGGACUGCGUUCACGCUUUCCCCCG
rnacentral:snRNA from 1 species